rnacentral:rRNA from 1 species
CCCUUAGAUGUUCUGGGCCGCACGCGCGCUACACUGAUGCAUUCAACGAGUCUAAAACCUGGUCUGAUAGGGCUGGGUAAUCUUUUGAAAGUGCAUCGUGAUUGGGAUAGAUGAUUGCAAUUCUUCAUCUUCAACGAGGAAUGCCUAGUAAACGCAAGUCAUCAGCUUGCAUUGAUUGCGUCCCUGCCCUUUGUACACACCGCCCGUCGCUCCUACCGAUUGAAUGAUCCGAUGAAUACCAUGGAUUGAGAGUACGAAUGGGUUCGCUCAUUUCUGCUGCUCGAGAAGUGGAGUAAAUCUUAUCAUUUAGAGGAAGGAGAAGUCGUAACA